rnacentral:rRNA from 1 species
CAUGCCGCGUGUGUGAANAAGGCCUGCGGGUUGUAAAGCACUUUCAGUAAAGAAGAAAGGCUAAAGGUUAAUAACCUUAAGUCUUGACGUAACCUACAGAAGAAGCACCGGCUAACUCCGUGCCAGCAGCCGCGGUAAUACGGAGGGUGCAAGCGUUAAUCGGAAUUACUGGGCGUAAAGCGCGCGUAGNNGCUUUGUAAGUCGGAUGUGAAAGCCCUGGGCUCAACCUGGGAAUUGCAUUCGAAACUACAUAACUAGAGUAUGGUAGAGGGAAGUGGAAUUUCCGGUGUAGCGGUGAAAUGCGUAGAUAUCGGANGGAACACCAGUGGCGAAGGCGACUUCCUGGGCCAAUACUGACGCUGAGGUGCGAAAGCGUGGGGAGCAAACNGGAUUANAUACCCUGGUAGUCCACGCCGUAANCNAUGAGAACUANAUGUUGGGGGAAUCUGUCCCUCGGUGUCGCANCUAAGGCGUUAANUUCUCCGCCUGGNGAGUACGCCGGC